rnacentral:tRNA from 1 species
AAAUAGAUAGCUUAAGUUUAAAGCCUCGCAUUGAAGAUGCUAAGAUAGAAUUAUCUUCUGUUUA